GCCAUAUCAUGUGGAAACACCAGUUCUAGUAUGAUCACCAAAGUUAAGCAAUGUUGAGCAUAGUUAGUACCUAGAUGGGUGACUGCUUAGGAAUACCAGGUACUGUA